rnacentral:tmRNA from 1 species
GGGGGUGAAAUAGGAUCGACAGGGUUCGUUCGUAGGGAAGCCGCAGGCCCUGGUUGGCCAGAGCCAGGUUAAAAUCAGGCCAAAAAACAAAAGCCAACACUCCGUUGGCCUGGGCCACUGCCUAAACCGCAGUGAGUUCACGCCGGUCCCCGACGCCUGCUGGGGGGCUGCCGGCGUCAAGAGCAGGCUGGACGCUUCCGCGCGCGCUUCGUCGCGGAGGGGUCGAGACCAACACGGAGCUGGUCCCGGGAUACUUGUCCGCAGGCUUUCUCGGGACGAGACCAAAAGCGGACUAAGCCUGUAGUGGCCCCGAAAGACGGCUUCUGGACCCGGGGGGCAGCACCCCGGCACCUCCACCA